AGAGCUGCUGAGCAUUCUGGCUGCGGCAUCUGUCAUCCCAUUGAUUGCCAGCGUUGAUUUGACAAUUCUGGCUGGCUAGGCAGGUGUCCGCUUCCUCCCUCAUCAUUCCAUGUGUGUCCCUCCCAAAGCUCUGUGCUUGGUGGAAGAGGACAACCAGCCCAGAUAGGUUGCAUAUGCGUGUGA